GGUGACAAUGUGAGCAGCAGGACAAAGUGGACUCCACUCCUGAGAAGCACAAACAUCCCAUUAAGAAGGAGGCAGGGGCGAGAGAGAGAAUAAAUAGGGUGAGGAGAAGGAGAAGCAGGAAACGGCCUCGGAGAACAGGAGCAUGAAACGCACUGAUUAAGAAACGGCAAGUGGUUCCGUGAAAUACAUUUAAAGGAAAAGCCGAGUGGGUUACUGUCUACCGUGAGAUAAAUCAUGCCCACCACAUGUUCUUACCACCAUGUCCUGCCCCACCACAGGCCCAGGACCGGGGAGCCAUGGACUAUGGGCUGAAAGCUUUGAAAUCUCGAACUAAA